rnacentral:tmRNA from 1 species
GGGGAUGUACUUGGUUUCGACGGGCUGAGUACUAUCACAGGUUGCAUGCCGAGUUUACCCCUUAUGUACUCGUAAAAAAACCUUUGGGAUACUUAAUUGUAAAAGGCAACUCUUACGAUUACCGAAUGGCUGCCUAACAGCCGUUCCGUUCUGUCUGCUGCCCGCCCGGCGGCGGUUUGCAGAGCGACGCUAAUGCCGGGCUGGCAACAACUAUCGGCUGUGUAGUUGGUGCGAGAAAUUAGCAGCCUGGCUUCAGGGCGCUGUGCUGUCCGGCUACCCCUGAAGUAAGAUUCAACCCGACAGAUAAGCAUGUAGACGCUUGCUGGUUUGCCUUCCCGGACCCGGGUUCGACUCCCGGCAUCUCCACCA